rnacentral:rRNA from 1 species
UGGUGGAUUGAUUUGUCUGGUUAAUUCCGAAAACGAACGAGACCUUAACCUAUUAAAUAGUUCGUUUAAUCAGAUUCGCAAGAGUUAGUUACAUUGAAGAAGUGAUACUUCUUAGAGGGACUCUUUACAUUUUAGUAAAGGGAAGUUUAAGGCAAAACA